CAGCAGCCGCGGGAAUACGGAGGGGGCUAGCGUUGUUCGGAAUUACUGGGCGUAAAGCGCACGUAGGCGGCUUGGUAAGUUAGAGGUGAAAGCCCGGAGCUCAACUCCGGAAUUGCCUUUAAGACUGCCGAGCUAGUAGGUGAGAGAGGUAAGUGGAAUUCCGAGUGUAGAGGUGAAAUUCGUAGAUAUUCGGAAGAACACCAGUGGCGAAGGCGGCUUACUGGCUCAUUCUAGACGCUGAGGUGCGAAAGCGUGGGGAGCAAACAGGAUUAGAGACCCCUGUAGUCCCUGUCUCUUAUAC
rnacentral:rRNA from 1 species